GGAGAACUGCAAGGAGCCAACCCUAGUACGAGAGGACUGGGUUGGGCCAACCUAUGGUGUACCGGUUGUUAUGCUAAUAGUAGUGCUGGGCAGCUAAGUUGGUAUGGAAGGACUGCUGCACCGUGGAAAUCCUUCUCUAUACAAGUUCUCCAACGGUUUUUGAACAAAACUUCGAUAGGCGAGAGUUGUAAGCACUACAAGGUGUAAAAUGAUCUCAUACUAAAUGA
rnacentral:ncRNA from 1 species